GUGGGUGGCAAGCGUUGUCCGGGAAUUAUUGGGGCGUAAAGCGCGCGCAGGCGGUUCUUUAAGUCUGAUGUGAAAGCCCACGGGCUCAACCGUGGAGGGUCAUUGGAAACUGGAGAACUUGAGUACAGAAGAGGAAAGCGGAAUUCCACGUGUAGCGGUGAAAUGCGUAGAGAUAUGGAGGAACACCAGUGGCGAAGGCGGCUUUCUGGCCUCUAACUGACGCUGAGGCGCGAAAGCGUGGGGAGCAAACAGGAUUAGAUACCCUGGUAGUCCACGCCGUAAACGAUGAGUGCUAAGUGUUAGGGGGUUUCCGCCCCUUAGUGCUGCAGCUAACGCAUUAAGCACUCCGCCUGGGGAGUACGGCCGCAAAGGCUG
rnacentral:rRNA from 1 species